rnacentral:lncRNA from 1 species
AUGUCUUGGUGGAUUCCAUUCUCAAGAAUGGGAGGUGGGUACUGGGAGGGUGGUAGUGGUGUUUCUCUCAAAAUGGUUCUCUUUUCUUUACCCCAUGGACCAGUUUAUCUCCAGGGGAGAAUGGGAGCUGAGAACUCUUCAGUGACAGAAUUCAUCCUCGCAGGCUUAACAGACCAGCCAGGACUGCAGAUCCCCCUCUUCCUCCUGUUUCUAGGUUUCUAUGUGGUCACCGUAGUGGGGAACCUGGGCUUGAUAACGCUGAUUGGGUUGAACUCACGCCUGCACAUCCCUAUGUACUUCUUCCUCUUCAACCUCUCCUUAAUAGACUUCUGUUACUCCACUACCAUCACUCCCAAAAUGCUGAUGAGUUUUGUCUCAAGGAAGAACACCAUCUUGCACGCAGGGUGUUUGACUCAACUGUUUUUCUUCUGCUUCUUUGUCAUCUCUGAGUCCUUUGUCCUGUCAGCGAUGGCAUAUGACCGCUAUGUUGCCAUCUGUAAGCCACUGGUGUACACAGUCACCAUGUCUCCUAAGGUCUGUUUACUGCUUUUGUUGGGUGUGUAUGUGAUGGGGUUUUCAGGGGCCAUGGCCCACACAGGAAGCAUAGCAACUCUAAUCUUCUGUGCUGACAACCUCAUCAAUCAUUUUGUGUGUGAUAUCCCUCCUCUCCUUGAGCUGGCUUGCAAUAGCUCUUAUGUGCACGAACUGGUGGUCUUCAUAGUUGUGACCAUUGUUAUUGGAAUGGUCACUGCCACCAUCUCCAUCUCUUAUGCUCUAAUCCUCUCCAGCAUUCUCCGCAUUCAUUCCACUGAGGGCAGGUCCAAAGCUUUCAGUACAUGCAGCUCCCACAUAAUUGUGGUUUUCCUUUUCUUUGGUUCUGGGGCUUUUGUGUAUCUCAAACCACCUUCUGUUUUGCCCCUUGACCAAGGGAAAGUGUCCUCCCUGUUCUAUACCAUUGUGGUGCCCAUGUUAAAUCCACUGAUAUAUAGUUUGAGGAACAAGGAUGUCAAAGCUGCCCUGAGGAAAACUUUGGGAAAAAAUAAUUUCUUGAGAAAGGAGUAG